rnacentral:rRNA from 1 species
UACAGAGGUGGCAAGCGUUGUUCGGAAUUACUGGGCGUAAAGGGCGCGUAGGCGGUCUUGUAAGUCUUGUGUGAAAUCCCUCGGCUCAACUGAGGAACUGCACGGGAUACUGCGAGACUUGAGUUCGGGAGAGGGAAGCGGAAUUCCGGGUGUAGCGGUGAAAUGCGUAGAUAUCGGGAGGAAUACCAGCGGCGAAGGCGGCCUUCUGGACGGUGACUGACGCUGAGACGCGAAAGCGUGGGGAGCAAACAGG